UACGAAGGGGGCUAGCGUUGCUCGGAAUCACUGGGCGUAAAGCGCACGUAGGCGGCUUUCUAAGUCAGGGGUGAAAUCCUGGAGCUCAACUCCAGAACUGCCUUUGAUACUGGAGAGCUUGAGUCCGGAAGAGGUGAGUGGAACUCCGAGUGUAGAGGUGAAAAUUCGUAGAUAUUCGGAAGAACACCAGUGGCGAAGGCGGCUCUCUGGACCAGCACUGACACUGAGGCACGAAAGCGUGGGGAGCAAACAGG
rnacentral:rRNA from 1 species